UACGGGGGGAGCAAGCGUUGUUCGGAUUUACUGGGCGUAAAGGGCGCGUAGGCGGUCGUGACAAGUCACUUGUGAAAUCUCCGGGCUUAACUCGGAACGGUCAAGUGAUACUGUCGGACUAGAGUACAGAAGGGGCAACUGGAAUUCUCGGUGUAGCGGUGAAAUGCGCAGAGAUCGGGAGGAACACCCGUAGCGAAGGCGGCACUCUGGGCCGGUACUGACGCUGAGGAGCGAAAGCGUGGGGAGCGAACAGG
rnacentral:rRNA from 1 species